CUCCUUGUACUGAAUGGACACAUAUGCCACCUGUCCAUAGGGCAGGUAAUCAUACAUGUGGCAUUGAGUGCAAUAACCUGGAUAGCCCCAUUCUGUUGCUGGACUUCUGCCUGCAUUCUCUUUUUACUCCUGCAGCUCAUUUCUCUGUUGAUGUUGUGUUUUUAUCAGGGGUUUUUUAUUGCCUUA